rnacentral:sRNA from 1 species
GCAACUGGCAGAGUGAAUUGGAUUUCUCUGCCUAUGUGUCAGGAGCCCUUUUUGCCUGUUUCUGUGAUAGCCUUCCUGUCAGGCAGUCAAACAUGUCAGGUUCUUGCGGCAGAUUUCCUGGUCUGCUGAGGGGAUAUACUUGAGGCUCAAGGCUCGAUUGCGAACAUUCUACUAAUCUUGGUGAAGGAAACAAGGAGGCCUCCGAAUGGGACUAGCUAUCUUAUACUUUGCCUCUCCUGUGCAGGUGAAGUUCAAGAUUGAAUUGCCGCAGUCUCUACCCGGAAGCUAUUCAAGGCCAACAGAACCAAGCCUCUGCAUAAGCCAGCUCUCUUCACACACAGUGAUCGACAUCCAAUGAAUAUCUGCCCACUCUAAAUCCAAGAAGGCCUAUGCUGCAGCUUGAAUGACCUUCAAGCCUCAGCUGAAACACAGAUACACUGGGGUCACAUAAUGAGAACACAGUCAACUUUUCUGAGAAGGAUAAGUGCCUCAUGUCUUGUCUGUUUUCCUUGAGUUUUGUCUUUGUUGUUAGUCUGAAUUACCCACUUCUUUUUCAAAACUGAUCACAUGUAAUAUUCUAUGAGGAAGGCAUCAGAAAUCUCUACCUUCUGUCUGAAACCCACAAACUCAAACUGCCUUCUAAAGGCCUGUUUAUGUGAAUGAGCAAAAGCUACUCUUAACCUAAACUUCCAUUUCAGUAAAUAGCUGUGAAUGCAAUGACCCCUGGCAGUUAGAGAUCCUGAGGUAAAAGGAUGGCUGAGUCCUUAGCUCUAAACAGAACAUUUAUGCAACUCCCUCAAAAGCUCAGGACACACUGUAGAAGAGAAAAUUGAAAGGAUGUAAAGAGACAGAAGGCAGGGAGAAGGUCUAUGAAAUGUCAUCUUGUGGUCAUGACACAGAGAUUACAAUCACAAACUCGCAGCAGCUGAAUUUACCUUCAGUGCACCAGCAGAAGACUGACCACUGAGCCAACAGCCAGCCAUGGAUGAAGAGAGUGUUCAUGGGAACCCACCUUUCCCUAUGGAAUUAUUGGCUAUGGAUGACUUCUGAGGGAGGAGUGGUUAUGGUGUUCAGUUGUGUAUCCACUACUCAACUAAUCAGGAUUUAAUGAAUAGUUUGAAAGCAAUGAUUGUAUGUGUUUGGGUUAAACCCAUGGGGCCAGCAGAACAAAAAACAAUUAUGAAUGUAAGAAAAGGAUUUGUAGAGAGAAGAGACAGUUGUCAGUGGUGUAACAUAUGUCAGACAGAAUACAGAAAUAGCUACCAGAAUGCAUUAUAUAAUACAUAUCAUUGAACUAAUUCAUUUAAUAAAAAAUUAGGAAUA